rnacentral:rRNA from 1 species
UACGUGAGGGCCUAGCGUUGUCCGGAUUUAUUGGGCGUAAAGAGCUCGUAGGCGGUUUGUCGCAUCUGCCGUGAAAACCCGAGGCUUAACCUCGUGGCUUGCGGUGGAUACGGGCAGACUAGAGGUAGGUAGGGGAGAAUGGAAUUCCCGGUGUAGCGGUGAAAUGCGCAGAUAUCAGGAGGAACACCGGUGGCGAAGGCGGCAUUCUGGACCAUUACUGACGCUGAGGAGCGAAAGCCAGGGGAGCAAACGGG